UACAGAGGUCUCAAGCGUUGUUCGGAUUCAUUGGGCGUAAAAGGGUGCGUAGGCGGCGCGGUAAGUCGGGUGUGAAAUUUCGAGGCUUAACUUCGAAACUGCAUUCGAUACUGCCGUGCUAGAGGACUGGAGAGGAGACUGGAAUUUACGGUGUAGCGGUGAAAUGCGUAGAUAUCGUAAGGGAGACCAGUGGCGAAGGCGGGUCUCUGGACAGUUCCUGACGCUGAGGCACGAAGGCCCAGGGGGAGCAAAACGGG
rnacentral:rRNA from 1 species